UCCCCGUUACCGGGGCAGUUUGAAUAGAAAAAUACAACUAUUCACAAGGGUUGCGCUCGUUAAAGGACUUAACCUAACAUCUCACGACACGAGCUGACGACGGCCAUGCAUCACCUGUCACUUGGCUCAAUAAAGCACUCUCGCCUUUCGGCAAAAUUCCAAGGAUGUCAAACCCUGGUAAGGUUCUUCGUUUAUCAUCGAAUUAAAGAACACGAUCCACCGCUUGUGCGGGUCCCCGUCAAUUCCUUUGAGUUUCAUUCUUGCGAACGUACUCCCCAGGUGGGAUACUUAUCACUUUCGCUUAGCCACUGAGGUAAACCCCAACAGCUAGUAUCCAUCGUUUACGGCGUGGACUAC
rnacentral:misc_RNA from 1 species